ACACAAUAACCUCCUACUCUACACAUACCCACUUCUAGUAAAGCUGCCUAUUACUAUUUCUCAAUCGCUACUUUCCCUCAAAAUGUGGAGUUCCUUGAAUACUUCUUUCAUCACAAUAAGCCUUAGGGGAUUAAGGGGAAUCAAUUUCAUACACAGAGAUGACCUGAGCAAGAACCCAUCAAAAAAGAAGGUAAAGAUCGGUGAUUGCUUGGCAAGUAGUAGAGAACCAUUGCUUUGCAAAGAAUUAGAGAAUGAUAAGAAUUUGGAGAGAAGAAGCUAUGGAAAUGCUUCUGUUGAAGAAAAUGGUGUGGUUAGAGUGAAAGUUAAGAUGACAAAACAAGAAGCUGCUCGUCUAUUGUCAAAGUGUAAAGAUGGCGGGAUUCUUGAGUUCAGGGAUGUAGCACAUGAGCUGGUACAAAUCCCUGUCAAUCGUGUUAGUGUUGUGGCCUCGGGUUGUGGCUAUGGUAGUAGUGUGCUUAAAACAAUCCCUGAAGAGAUUUAGGUAAUUGAAAUUUGGUACAUGCAAUCCACGAGCCUGGAUGAAUUGCCCAGUCAUCAAAUACUUGCCUGUAGUGCUGCUAUAAAACUUUUCAGUUGGUUCAAUUGAUUUUGUCUCAGUUCUGUUUUUCAAUCUUCUUCUAACAUGUAUCGAAUGGUGAUGAUUAGGUUCAAUAUCGCUGCUUUGUUUCAAUGAAAUGCAAACUCUACUUGUUAU
rnacentral:misc_RNA from 1 species